AGAGUUUGAUCCUGGCUCAGGACGAACGCUGGCGGCGCGCCUAACACAUGCAAGUCGAACGAGCGAGAGAGAGCUUGCUUUCUCGAGCGAGUGGCGAACGGGUGAGUAACGCGUGAGGAACCUGCCUCAAAGAGGGGGACAACAGUUGGAAACGACUGCUAAAUACCACAUAAGCCCACGGGUCGGCAUCGACCAGAGGGAAAAGGAGUAAUCCGCUUUGAGAUGGCCUCGCGUCCGAUUAGCUAGUUGGUGAGGUAACGGCCCACCAAGGCAACGAUCGGUAGCCGGACUGAGAGGUUGAACGGCCACAUUGGGACUGAGACACGGCCCAGACUCCGUACGGGAGCA
rnacentral:rRNA from 1 species